AGCCCUGGAAACGGGGUCUAAUACCGGAUAUGACUGUCCAUCGCAUGGUGGAUGGUGUAAAGCUCCGGCGGUGCAGGAUGAGCCCGCGGCCUAUCAGCUUGUUGGUGAGGUAGUGGCUCACCAAGGCGACGACGGGUAGCCGGCCUGAGAGGGCGACCGGCCACACUGGGACUGAGACACGGCCCAGACUCCUACGGGAGGCAGCAGUGGGGAAUAUUGCACAAUGGGCGAAAGCCUGAUGCAGCGACGCCGCGUGAGGGAUGACGGCCUUCGGGUUGUAAACCUCUUUCAGCAGGGAAGAAGCGAAAGUGACGGUACCUGCAGAAGAAGCGCCGGCUAACUACGUGCCAGCAGCCGCGGUAAUACGUAGGGCGCAAGCGUUGUCCGGAAUUAUUGGGCGUAAAGAGCUCGUAGGCGGCUUGUCACGUCGGUUGUGAAAGCCCGGGGCUUAACCCCGGGUCUGCAGUCGAUACGGGCAGGCUAGAGUUCGGUAGGGGAGAUCGGAAUUCCUGGUGUAGCGGUGAAAUGCGCAGAUAUCAGGAGGAACACCGGUGGCGAAGGCGGAUCUCUGGGCCGAUACUGACGCUGAGGAGCGAAAGC
rnacentral:rRNA from 1 species